rnacentral:rRNA from 1 species
CAGUAGCCGCGGGAAUACGUAGGUGGCAAGCGUUGUCCGGAAUUGUUGGGCGUAAAGGGCUCGCAGGCGGUUUCUUAAGUCUGAUGUGAAAGCCCCCGGCUCAACCGGGGAGGGUCAUUGGAAACUGGGAAACUUGAGUGCAGAAGAGGAGAGUGGAAUUCCACGUGUAGCGGUGAAAUGCGUAGAGAUGUGGAGGAACACCAGUGGCGAAGGCGACUCUCUGGUCUGUAACUGACGCUGAGGAGCGAAAGCGUGGGGAGCGAACAGGAUUAGAUACCCGAGUAGUCCCUGUCUCUUAUAC